AUUGAACGCUGGCGGCAGGCUUAACACAUGCAAGUCGAACGGCAGCAUGGGUGCUUGCACCUGAUGGCGAGUGGCGAACGGGUGAGUAAUGCAUCGGAACGUGCCCGGAAGUGGGGGAUAACGUAGCGAAAGUUACGCUAAUACCGCAUAUUCUGUGAGCAGGAAAGCAGGGGACCUUCGGGCCUUGCGCUUUCGGAGCGGCCGAUGUCGGAUUAGCUAGUUGGUAGGGUAAAGGCCUACCAAGGCAACGAUCCGUAGCGGGUCUGAGAGGAUGAUCCGCCACACUGGGACUGAGACACGGCCCAGACUCCUACGGGAGGCAGCAGUGGGGAAUUUUGGACAAUGGGGGAAACCCUGAUCCAGCCAUGCCGCGUGAGUGAAGAAGGCCUUCGGGUUGUAAAGCUCUUUCGGUAGAGAAGAAAUUGCACUUUCUAAUACAAAGUGUGGAUGACGGUAUCUACAUAAGAAGCACCGGCUAACUACGUGCCAGCCGCCGCUGUAA
rnacentral:rRNA from 1 species